rnacentral:rRNA from 1 species
UACGUAGGGUGCAAGCGUUAAUCGGAAUUACUGGGCGUAAAGCGUGCGCAGGCGGCUUUGCAAGACAGAUGUGAAAUCCCCGGGCUUAACCUGGGAACUGCAUUUGUGACUGCAUGGCUGGAGUGCGGCAGAGGGGGAUGGAAUUCCGCGUGUAGCAGUGAAAUGCGUAGAUAUGCGGAGGAACACCGAUGGCGAAGGCAAUCCCCUGGGCCUGCACUGACGCUCAUGCACGAAAGCGUGGGAG